rnacentral:rRNA from 1 species
UUAGUUUCUUAAUUGGGAAAUAGGAUGAAUGGUUUCACUAAAAUAUAGUUUUUAUACUCAUUUGCGAAAUUUUAAUCUAAGUGAAAAUACUUAGCAGUUGUACUAGGACGAGAAGACCCUAUGAAGCUGGCAAACUAUUAAUACAUAUUCCUAUUAUUUAUUAGUUUAUUUUUUGGGGUAAAAUUUAAUAAUACUAUUAACACAAUUGUACUAAAUUACAUCCUUUAGGAAUUAUGAAGAAGCUCCUCUAGGGAUAACAGCAUUAUGCUUAAAAGAGUUCUUAUCAGAAUAAGCGUUUGUGACCUCGAUGUUGAAUUAAAUGCUCUUUUAUGUGCAGGAGCUUAGAAGAG